rnacentral:rRNA from 1 species
UGGGGAAUAUUGGACAAUGGGGGCAACCCUGAUCCAGCAAUGCCGCGUGAGUGAAGAAGGCCUUAGGGUUGUAAAGCUCUUUCAGUGGGGAAGAUAAUGACGGUACCCACAGAAGAAGCUCCGGCUAACUCCGUGCCAGCAGCCGCGGUAAGACGGAGGGGGCUAGCGUUGUUCGGAAUUACUGGGCGUAAAGCGCACGUAGGCGGUUUGUUUAGUCAGAUGUGAAAGCCCCGGGCUUAACUCGGGAAAUGCAUUUGAUACUGGCAGGCUGGAGUCCGGUAGAGGGUAGCGGAAUUCCCAGUGUAGAGGUGAAAUUCGUAGAUAUUGGGAAGAACACCAGUGGCGAAGGCGGCUACCUGGACCGGUACUGACGCUGAGGUGCGAAAGCGUGGGGAGCGAACAGGAUUAGAUACCCCCGUAGUCC